GGUUAAGCGACUAAGCGUACACGGUGGAUGCCCUGGCAGUCAGAGGCGAUGAAGGGCGUGCUAAUCUGCGAUAAGCGCCGGUAAGGUGAUAUGAACCGUUAUAACCGGCGAUACCCGAAUGGGGAAACCCAGUGUGACUCGUCACACUAUCAUUAACUGAAUCCAUAGGUUAAUGAGGCGAACCGGGGGAACUGAAACAUCUAAGUACCCCGAGGAAAAGAAAUCAACCGAGAUUCCCCCAGUAGCGGCGAGCGAACGGGGAGGAGCCCAGAGCCUGAAUCAGCAUGUGUGUUAGUGGAAGCGUCUGGAAAGGCGCGCGAUACAGGGUGACAGCCCCGUACACAAAAGCGCAUGUGCUGUGAGCUCGAUGAGUAGGGCGGGACACGUGGUAUCCUGUCUGAAUAUGGGGGGACCAUCCUCCAAGGCUAAAUACUCCUGACUGACCGAUAGUGAACCAGUACCGUGAGGGAAAGGCGAAAAGAACCCCGGCGAGGGGAGUGAAAAAGAACCUGAAACCGUGUACGUACAAGCAGUGGGAGCACCCUUUGGGUGUGACUGCGUACCUUUUGUAUAAUGGGUCAGCGACUUAUAUUCUGUAGCAAGGUUAACCGAAUAGGGGAGCCGGAGGGAAACCGAGUCUUAACCGGGCGUUAAGUUGCAGGGUAUAGACCCGAAACCCGGUGAUCUAGCCAUGGGCAGGUUGAAGGUUGGGUAACACUAACUGGAGGACCGAACCGACUAAUGUUGAAAAAUUAGCGGAUGACCUGUGGCUGGGGGUGAAAGGCCAAUCAAACCGGGAGAUAGCUGGUUCUCCCCGAAAGCUAUUUAGGUAGCGCCUCGUGAAUUCAUCUCCGGGGGUAGAGCACUGUUUCGGCUAGGGGGCCAUCCCGGCUUACCAACCCGAUGCAAACUGCGAAUACCGGAGAAUGUUAUCACGGGAGACACACGGCGGGUGCUAACGUCCGUCGUGAAGAGGGAAACAACCCAGACCGCCAGCUAAGGUCCCAAAGUCAUGGUUAAGUGGGAAACGAUGUGGGAAGGCCCAGACAGCCAGGAUGUUGGCUUAGAAGCAGCCAUCAUUUAAAGAAAGCGUAAUAGCUCACUGGUCGAGUCGGCCUGCGCGGAAGAUGUAACGGGGCUAAACCAUGCACCGAAGCUGCGGCAGCGACACUGUGUGUUGUUGGGUAGGGGAGCGUUCUGUAAGCCUGCGAAGGUGGCCUGUGAGGGUUGCUGGAGGUAUCAGAAGUGCGAAUGCUGACAUAAGUAACGAUAAAGCGGGUGAAAAGCCCGCUCGCCGGAAGACCAAGGGUUCCUGUCCAACGUUAAUCGGGGCAGGGUGAGUCGACCCCUAAGGCGAGGCCGAAAGGCGUAGUCGAUGGGAAACGGGUUAAUAUUCCCGUACUUGGUGUUACUGCGAAGGGGGGACGGAGAAGGCUAUGUUGGCCGGGCGACGGUUGUCCCGGUUUAAGCGUGUAGGUGUGUGUUCCAGGUAAAUCCGGUUCACUUUAACACUGAGGCGUGACGACGAGGCACUACGGUGCUGAAGCAACAAAUGCCCUGCUUCCAGGAAAAGCCUCUAAGCAUCAGGUAACAUCAAAUCGUACCCCAAACCGACACAGGUGGUCAGGUAGAGAAUACCAAGGCGCUUGAGAGAACUCGGGUGAAGGAACUAGGCAAAAUGGUGCCGUAACUUCGGGAGAAGGCACGCUGACACGUAGGUGAAGUGAUUUACUCAUGGAGCUGAAGUCAGUCGAAGAUACCAGCUGGCUGCAACUGUUUAUUAAAAACACAGCACUGUGCAAACACGAAAGUGGACGUAUACGGUGUGACGCCUGCCCGGUGCCGGAAGGUUAAUUGAUGGGGUCAGCGCAAGCGAAGCUCCUGAUCGAAGCCCCGGUAAACGGCGGCCGUAACUAUAACGGUCCUAAGGUAGCGAAAUUCCUUGUCGGGUAAGUUCCGACCUGCACGAAUGGCGUAAUGAUGGCCAGGCUGUCUCCACCCGAGACUCAGUGAAAUUGAACUCGCUGUGAAGAUGCAGUGUACCCGCGGCAAGACGGAAAGACCCCGUGAACCUUUACUAUAGCUUGACACUGAACAUUGAGCCUUGAUGUGUAGGAUAGGUGGGAGGCUUUGAAGUGUGGACGCCAGUCUGCAUGGAGCCGACCUUGAAAUACCACCCUUUAAUGUUUGAUGUUCUAACGUGGACCCGUUACCCGGGUUGCGGACAGUGUCUGGUGGGUAGUUUGACUGGGGCGGUCUCCUCCUAAAGAGUAACGGAGGAGCACGAAGGUUGGCUAAUCCUGGUCGGACAUCAGGAGGUUAGUGCAAUGGCAUAAGCCAGCUUGACUGCGAGCGUGACGGCGCGAGCAGGUGCGAAAGCAGGUCAUAGUGAUCCGGUGGUUCUGAAUGGAAGGGCCAUCGCUCAACGGAUAAAAGGUACUCCGGGGAUAACAGGCUGAUACCGCCCAAGAGUUCAUAUCGACGGCGGUGUUUGGCACCUCGAUGUCGGCUCAUCACAUCCUGGGGCUGAAGUAGGUCCCAAGGGUAUGGCUGUUCGCCAUUUAAAGUGGUACGCGAGCUGGGUUUAGAACGUCGUGAGACAGUUCGGUCCCUAUCUGCCGUGGGCGCUGGAGAACUGAGGGGGGCUGCUCCUAGUACGAGAGGACCGGAGUGGACGCAUCACUGGUGUUCGGGUUGUCAUGCCAAUGGCACUGCCCGGUAGCUAAAUGCGGAAGAGAUAAGUGCUGAAAGCAUCUAAGCACGAAACUUGCCCCGAGAUGAGUUCUCCCUGAGACUUAAAGUCUCCUGAAGGAACGUUGAAGACGACGACGUUGAUAGGCCGGGUGUGUAAGCGCAGCGAUGCGUUGAGCUAACCGGUACUAAUGAACCGUGAGGCUUAACCUU
rnacentral:rRNA from 1 species